UACGGAGGGGGUUAGCGUUGUUCGGAAUUACUGGGCGUAAAGCGCGCGUAGGCGGAUUGGAAAGUUGGGGGUGAAAUCCCAGGGCUCAACCCUGGAACUGCCUCCAAAACUCCCAGUCUUGAGUUCGAGAGAGGUGAGUGGAAUUCCGAGUGUAGAGGUGAAAUUCGUAGAUAUUCGAGGAAGCAACCA
rnacentral:rRNA from 1 species